rnacentral:lncRNA from 1 species
CUUAAAAAUGCAUUUCAUGGCGAGGUACAGAAAAUAUACUGUAAACAGUAGACUAUAGAUAUAGGUGAACUAGGUACAAGAGAACUCUAAAUCUUAAAUACUACAAACCACCUCUGUUCUAUGAAAGAUAAUGAUAUAACUGGACUAGAAAUACACACAACCUGUAAUUAACUGCCUUUACAGCGCUUUCGCGCUUUGAUUUUUUCAAG